rnacentral:rRNA from 1 species
UACGGAGGGUGCAAGCGUUAAUCGGAAUUACUGGGCGUAAAGCGUGCGCAGGCGGUUUGUUAAGUCUGCUGUGAAAUCCCCGAGCUCAACCUGGGAACUGCAUUCAAAACUGUCGAGCUAGAGUAUGGUAGAGGGUGGUGGAAUUUCCUGUGUAGCGGUGAAAUGCGUAGAUAUAGGAAGGAACACCAGUGGCGAAGGCGACCACCUGGACUGAUACUGACACUGAGGUGCGAAAGCGUGGGGAGCAAACAGG